rnacentral:tRNA from 1 species
GCGAGAGUGGCGGAACUGGUAGACGCGCAGGUUUUAGGUACCUGUGGUUAAACCGUGGGGGUUCGAGUCCCCCCUCUCGCACCA